CCCGCACAUGAGGACCAGCCCUGCCUCUGAUUCUAUAGUGUUUUAUGUUAUAGACUUGGCAUGUGUGUAUCAGUGUUUUGAAACUUCCUAUACAAUGAUUAAACGAACAAUUAAAGCAUAUUAAUUGUUGAUCUAAUACCAGUAGUAUUUGAAGCAGCGUUUCUUUGAAAUAGCAGUAAUGUUUUAAAUACCACUCAUCCCUACAUAACUAGUUUACAGAUACGAGAAUCGUCAUUACUAAUAAACAUCUUGUGGUGCCAAUUUUGUUUUCUGGAAGAACAAAGGAAUUUUUAAAGAUAAGUGCAUGUAACAGAAAGUGAAAUGCCAACAAUCUUGCUCUGAUGUCUUCUUCAAAGCAGUGUAACUCUGUUUUAUACUUGACUGAACAAGUUUAUAACCAUUCU